rnacentral:lncRNA from 1 species
AACAGGAAUGCUGCUGGAAGAGCAAGAAUGAAAAUCAUCACAUAAAUUUGGGCCAUCCUGGUGAUGUCAGGAUCCACUUAAGAGCAGGAAGAUGCUGUCAGUAUUGAGAAAGAUGGCCCAGCAAGGAAAACAGCACAGCAUCAAGAUAAGGAUUCCUCUUUGAAGAAAGCUUCCUGCUGACUCAAAAGGAUUUUUCUUCUUCUGAACUCCUAUUAUGGGAAUGGAUGAAAUCACUUACAGAGCCACAGAAGGAAACAAAGCAAAGCCAGGAUCAUGAGUUGGAUUAUCUGGAGGCCUAGGCCAAUGGGGAGUUAUUGCUUGCAGUCACUGAUCAAGCAAAUAAACUUUUCCUUCUUUCUUAUGAAAUUUAUUUAAGAAGCUGAAAUUACUUAAAUGAUAAUGAGUUGUGAGAAAAGAAUUGUAGUAGAUAUUUGUUCUCUAUCCAAAUUGCACUGAGUGGGGAGGUGUACCCAUACCCCAGCUUCGAGAAUUGACUGAUAACAGUUCACACCUGCACUUCUCCAGAGAAUUGUCCUUGUCUGACCUGAGCACCUUGUUUAGUAAUGUCUGGUAGGCUAUGCUCCACCUUCCCUGGGCAGAUCCACUGGUCUAAGACAAACAACCCAACCCUCUAAUUUCUGGGAAGAAUCACCUCCGUGAUUAAUCUAAGCUCCAGAUCUCCCAGAGAAAUCAUGCUGAGGCUACAUUUGUGAAACUACAUUUUUAUCUAGCUUCUUCCUUUGCCCUUUCCUGCUGUCCUCACUUCCUUAUGAAUUUUUUUCUGAAAGAUCUUGAUUAAUAAAUUAUUUAAUCAAGAUCCCCCAGUCAUAAGUUCUGUGUUUUGGAAUAUAACCUAUACAAAAAUAAAUUAAUUGGUACUAGAUAAUGCUCCGCUAUGCAUCUAUUUCAAUGUCUAUUCUUUGGAAGUUCUGUCAUCACACAUCCCCAAGUUUUAGAUAAGGUUUUUAGCUAACAGCCAGGAAAAGAUUCAAUAAACUUAAAAGAAAAAGUGUUUUUAAAUGUAA